UGUAUUCACUACUGUAAGUCGCUCUGGAUAAGAGUGUCUGGUAAAUGACUAAAA
rfam:Salmo salar isolate Sally breed double haploid chromosome ssa04, whole genome shotgun sequence.